CCCUGCAUAGCUCAAUGGCGAGAGCAUUUUCGUGAGCUCACGAAAAAGAUACGGGUUCGACUCCCGUUGCAGGCC
rnacentral:tRNA from 1 species